rnacentral:lncRNA from 1 species
UAAAACAUAUAAGGCGUCUAAAAACAACAGUAAUAAAAGAAAUAAUGAGAGGCAUCUAGGAGUAUCAGAGCAUGAUAAAUGUCUAAAUGUUACAACCAGGGAUAAGGCUAAAGCUGUAAAUCCACUAAAUAAAACAUAAAGUAAAUACAAUAGAAAAUCCCAAAUACAAGUGCUAAAGGAAGGUACAUAGGUGGUCUCUACACAUGGAUACAAAAUCUCUCACUCUCCCAACUACAAAAAGAAAGAGCAAACCACCUAAGCAAGAACCGCUCCUCGCUAGCUAGCUAAGCGAUCCCCUUGCCGCGAUCCCGUGCCUCCGC